AUGAACGCUGGCGGCGUGCCUAAUACCUGCAAGUCGAGCGAACAGACGAGGAGCUUGCUCCUCUGACGUUAGCGGCGGACGGGUGAGUAACACGUGGAUAACCUACCUAUAAGACUGGGAUAACUUCGGGAAACCGGAGCUAAUACCGGAUAAUAUAUUGAACCGCAUGGUUCAAUAGUGAAAGACGGUUUUGCUGUCACUUAUAGAUGGAUCCGCGCCGCAUUAGCUAGUUGGUAAGGUAACGGCUUACCAAGGCAACGAUGCGUAGCCGACCUGAGAGGGUGAUCGGCCACACUGGAACUGAGACACGGUCCAGACUCCUACGGGAGGCAGCAGUAGGGAAUCUUCCGCAAUGGGCGAAAGCCUGACGGAGCAACGCCGCGUGAGUGAUGAAGGUCUUCGGAUCGUAAAACUCUGUUAUUAGGGAAGAAUAAAUGUGUAAGUAACUAUGCACGUCUUGACGGUACCUAAUCAGAAAGCCACGGCUAACUACGUG
rnacentral:rRNA from 1 species